GAGGCGUUGCUGUUAACUCGUGGUGUCAUUGCUCUACAAUGGUUUGCCAGUUGGGCUCCACUCCAGCCUGACCUCCCUCCAGCCCCCCUCCCAAACGCACACACUUUAGUUAUUCUUGCUCCCCGCUAUCAUUUGUCAUGUUAACCUCAAGCCAAAGCAGCCGGGCAUCUUCUUUGUAUCAGUUGCUAUGUUUGCCAUAUCUGAUCAGCGUGAUUGAUCAUUGCCUUGGCCACAGGUUGGUAAUAAGCUGUUUUGAGAGACUCCCGCAUUUCCCAGAGGGCAAAAGUGGCAUGACAGCCUUAUAAACCGGCCAUUCAUCAAUGUGUUCCCUGGUGGUGGCCUGUCUGAAGGCUGCGAGGCAGGCCGGCCGGCCUGUCCAUUCUGCCUGAGCCAAGAGGCUUGCUCGUGGGAACAGUUUCAAGGCUCCGCAAGGCGCUUAGGCAAGAAGCACAGUAAUUAACUGACUCCUUGGCUGAAUCAAAACUCCCAAGCACAAAUGCUGUAUUUUAAAUUCUGAUAAAAUGGCUUUAAGAUGUGACCAAGCUCAAGGAAUGCCUGACUUGACCACGUUGUGGAAGUCUGCUAGCCUUGAUGAAAUUCUUUGGGCUUCACGUGACAUUCCUCAAAUAUUUUGACUGAGGAGAAACUUCGCUUUAGGUGGCUCCAAAAUCCAUCGUAGGACAAUGCUUUCAUAGGGACUGACUCAAAAUGAGCGUGCAUCUGAAUUCCACAGAAUCCUCCAUCAUGCUAAAUCAGGGUUUCCCAAACAUGUGUCUGCAGCUGUUUUUGUACUACAAUUCCCAUCAUCCCAGACCACUGGUCCUGCUACCCAGAGAUGAGGGAGUUGUAGCCCAACAGCAGCUGGAGACCCAAGCUUGGGAAACUCUGUAUGGAGCAAAUGUGAGGGGACAGGAAUAUUAAAUGUUAGCUGGUGUUGAAGCCACAGAGUCUGCAGUUAGUAGGAGGAAUUGGCAGACACUGGAUUAGGUUCUGCUGCAGGAGUAGGGAACCUGUGGACUCCUAGAUGCUGUUAGAUGUCAAUUACUACCAACCUCAGGCAGGCUGGCCGGUGGUCAAGGAUGAUAGGAGUUGUAGCUCAGCAACAUCUGAAGGGCCAAAGGUUUCAUAGUCCUGUUUUACUAGGUUCUAUUCUGGUUUCAGCCUACAUCUAGGAAGUAUUUCAGUGCCAACAAUGACAACCUUCUGGAAGGACAUUAUUGUGAUGGUCUCUUCAGCACAGCCCCAUUAGCAUCAGCAGAUGUCAGGUGACGUCUAUAUAGGAAUGAGCCUCCUGAUCUGCUUGAGAAAGCACCACUGUUGCCAGUAUUGGUAUUGUUGGUGACUGUUGUCCAUUGGGACUGGUGGGCCAGAAAACAGUGAGCCCCACAGUAGGUGGAGCCAGAGCCAUUGACAACCAGAGCCAAAUAAUCCUGGCCUCACGCUCCUGCCUGCUGAGUUCUACAAGGGCAAGACCCAGACUUAAGGUGGAGGCUUCUGGAGGGCCACACCCUGGACUGGAUAUGAGUAAAGAAGCAAAGUCUUUUGUCUACUUUUGGCAUGAUUUGCUUCUCCUUUUGUGGAUAACUGAGACUGAGAUUUUGAGGUGGACCAUGACUUUACUAUAUUAUACGAACUCCAUCUUAUGGGUGGGAGUGGCUGUUGAUCUUUUGGUUCUGUAAUACAUAAAAAUAAUAACUGAGGUUGGUGGGGGCACUGGUAGACAGCUCAGUCGGUAGAGCAUGAGAAUCUUCAUCUCAGGGUUGUGAGUUUGAGCUCUACAUUGGGCAAAAGAUUCCUGCAUUGCAGGGGGUUGGACCAGAUAACCCUCAUGGUCCUUUCAAACUCUACAGUUCUAAAACGCUGUGGUUCUAUUCUUGAAAUCUUUUGGAUGGCAAUGUUGGGAACGGAACCUGCAAAUGCUUAAAUACAAAGCAUAGGCUAUAGAGGAUCGCAGGACACUUCCUUACACCAGGUCAGAUCAUUUGUCCAUCUAGACCAGCACUGUCUGCUCUGACUGACAGCAGCUCUCCAGAAUCUCAAGCAGACCUGCUACCUGAUCCUCUUUAACUGGAGUUGCCAAUGAUGUUAUGCGAGUUUAUUCCAGGCUAGAGAUUAGGGAUGACAGACACAAUCUAAUAACCAUUGACAAAAGCUCUUGAAUAACAUAAGUGAAAACCACUAUCUCAGUUUCCUCCUCCUUCUUUUUUUGUCCUGAGUUUUUCUCCCCUUUCCAUUGGAUCUUGGGUGAAACAACUUUCCCUUCCAAUAACUGCAAAGUGAUUUCUUUCUUGUAGGAAGUACAGUUUUAAUCUUAACGAAAGAUUUAAUGCCCACUGAAGUGUAAAAUAAACCACUGUGUUGCACACACGGCCUAAUCAAUCAAAUCUGCAUAGUUCACAGGGAAAGUACCUGUAUGAGGUUUUUAUAUCAAAAUGCCUGUAAUAAUAAGAGACAUUUAUUAGCACCCAUAAAGCUGUUUGAAUUUAAUCCCUCUCUAAAUAACACCAACAGCAUUAAAACAAAUCUCUAAGGCAAGCACAAGUGUGUCAUAAACAGCCUGAAAUACAAAGCUUAAAAGCCAUUAUGGAAAACUCAUAGAUUGUAGUAGUGGUUCAAGACUCCAUCGAAUGAGUAAGGGAAAUCCCACAAUUACGAUGGAUCACCUGUGUAUUUUCAUUGCACAAGCCAUUAGAGGCCUGGCUGUGUCCAUUCAGCAGAUGGAAAAUGAUUCUAAGAACUUUGAAUUCGCUGCCCACAUGUUUCCCAAUUGCUUUGCUGGAUAAGACCACUGAAUCCAGCUCAGGGCUUUCAACAUCAGGUAGCUUCUGGGAAGUCAGAAGAACAUAAGCAGAGACCUGCAGCUGGAUCAGGCCAGUGGCUCAUCUAGUCCAGCAUCCUGUUCACACAGGGGCCAAGUUGAUGGCCAUGGGAAGCCACCAAGCAGGACAUGGAAGCAGUCUCUCCACUAUUGCUCCCUAGCAAGUAGUAUAUAGCCAUCAUGACUAGUAGCCACUGAUAUUCUAUUUUUCCAGUCUCUUCUGAAAGCCAUCCAGAUUGGCAGCUGUCACUUUAUAUUGUGGUCACAAAUUCCACACGUUAACUACAGGAUGUGUGAAGAAGUACGUAGUUCCUUUCGUCUGACCAAAAAUGUUCUCUUUGUUUGUUUGUUUGUUUGUUUGUUUGUUUAAUUUAUAUACCACCCUUCAUGAAAAGAUCUUAGGGUGGUUCCCAGAAUAAAAUACAAGAUAAAACACAAGUAAAUAAUCAAACCACAAAACAAUACACACACACACUUUCCACAGACACGUUUUAAAAGCUGUAGGAUAUUAAUCAGCCAAAGGCUUGAUUGAAGAAGAACAUUUUCGCCUGGAGCCUAAAAAUAUAUAAUGAAGGCGCCAGUUGAACCUCCCUGUGGGGAGCAUUUCACAAAUGGGGGGCCACUACAGAAAAGGCCCGUUCUCGUGUUGCCACCCUCCAGACCUCUUCUCUCCCGUCUCCUCAUCCCCCACCUAACUUAAGGACAUAAUACUGAUUCGCCUUGCCCAGAUGUAGUAAGAACCACCGAGUUUCUGUAUGUGAAACCCCCUGAGCACUUGGAAUCACUGUGCAAAAGCUUCCAAUUGUCCCCGGAGAUACUGACAUAUCUCUGAGUUUGGGCUCCCUUGAGGAGCAUGGAGCAGGGUUUGUUUGAGCAGGGUGGUUGUGUGGAUUGGGGUGUGUUGGCAAAUGUGGCUGGAUCAAAGCUCUGAGUGAACAGGAUGUUCAGAGGACAGGAGGCCACGGGAUGCGUGGCAGAAUAAAGGCUGGCAGUGUUUUAGGCCUGCAGCUGUGGUUAAGGGAUGGGAGUCUGCAAGGUAGUUUUCUCACUGGAGGUUAGCGGACGCUGCUUCAGAGAGAGAGAGAAUAAGUGGGGGAGCCCUUUUGCGGGAGAAGACAACAUUGGGUGGCUCUGUGCUUUCAACCCUGUCCACCCAAAGUGAGCAUGAAUGCCCAGAUUCACGGCUGAGUUUCUUUCUCCCACUUCAGAGGGCAGCCUGCCCUCUCUGUAUCACUGUCUGUGCUGAACGACUCAGGAGGAGGGAAUCCCUUACUUUGGGGUGGGGGUGGGGAGGGUGUUUCUGCUUAAAACAGAGCGAGCUUUUAAAAAUAAGAGCAAGCUUUCAUUCAGAGCCAAGGUUAUCCAAAGAACCUCACAGCCAAGCUUUCAAGUUCUUGAUGCUGGAAAAAUAAAAUAAAGCCAUACGUUUUCUUUCCUCCCCAGAAGAGUUCAAAUACUCCUUUAAAAGGUGUCUGUCUUAUCCAUGUGCUUAAAUGGAACAGAUCUCCAACAACAAAAACAUUUAGAGCACUAAUAUCCAAUAAACUGUGUCUCCUCUUUUUGUAUAUCCCUUUUGCAUCUCCUUUUGACAGCGACUCCCUGAGAUAAAUUAGCCCUGGGUUGUGUGGCAAGCUCAGAAAACGCUUCAGCAAGGGUGACUUAGGUGUCCUCUAUUUGAAGGAGGUGUCUAUUUGGUUUAAAGUUAAAGAACUUUAAGAAGGGGGAGCAGGCAUUAGACACACAGAUAUAGUCUGAAAAUAACCUACAGAAAUUGCUUGCAAAUGUGUGGUUAUAGAAUGUAAUGUGUAUCAAAAUGGAAUUUUUAAUAUAUAAAUUUGAUGCAGAAAUCGGCUGAAAUAGACUGAGGACCUGUUGCAAGUGUCUGUAGAUGUUGUUUAGCAAAUAAAGAUUAGGUAUCUGUUCACCGACACCCCCAUGACAAUUUUUAUGUUUAAAACUGGACACAUUGUGUGUUCAUUUUGUACAUAUCCCUCCUAAAACGUGCAUCUUUGUCUCUUUCUCAAGUGCAGUUUACCCUAAAAUGUGCAUUUUUUUUGUACAUUAAAAAGAAAAGUACCAAACUGCACAUUUUAAUGUGUGCAAUUUCGAGGGGGACUGAAACUUCACUGUAAAAUCUGGAGGUGUGCAUAAUCUGAUUGACAGUUCCAUUCAAAACCAGCAGGUUAAGACCAAGAUUGAUUAUUCAGAUCGUUCUGCUGUAAAAAGUGGACCGGAUGAAUUUAUCCUCCAACCCUAGCUAUGCCUGACGAGGAGAAGACCUGGGGAGGAUAUGAGUGUACUCAUCAAAUUCCUGAAGAGCUGCCAGAUAGAAGAGGGCAGAGCCGAUGGAAAAUGCAAGACUGUAUUUUAUGGGCUUAAGCUUGAGGAGGACAGGUUUUCACUGAACAUUCAGGAAAAACGUCUUGAUGCCGAGGGCAGUUUGACAACAGUUUGUGCAUCCCCUAGAGGGGUGGUGGGUUCUCCCUUGCUUGAGGUCUUCAAACAGAGGCUGAACAUCCACCCCCAAUGAACUUAAACUAGGCUUGGAGAGCCUGGUACUCCCCCUUCCACAAUGUUGUUGAACUCCCAUCAGCCCCAGCCAGGGUGCCCAGUGUUCAGGGAGAACGGGAGUUGUAAUCCAAGAAUAUCUGGUGGUUCAUAGGAUUGCAGACAAGACUGAGCUAGACGGAGCAAUGGUCUGACUCACUGUUGAGCAGUUUCCUAUGUUCUGAGUAUUGGGAGAUGUGAGAGGAAUAGAUUAGGUGAAAGGGAAAUAGCAUCUGGCUCCCAGGCAAGCAAGCAAGAAGAAAGAGAGAGGUGUGUGUGUGUGUGUGUGUGUGUGUGUGUGUGUGUCCCCAAAAAUCACUAGGCAAACAAGGGAACCAGCUGAAAUCUCCUGCCUUCAGUUGAGGAUAAUAAUAGCAAGGAACUGGCUUGGGCAAAGAAACAAUUCCAGGAGACAGCUAAUGAGCUGCCUGCAUGUGAUACCAAGCCAUGAUCUCACCUCGGGAACCAGAAGAAUAGUAAUGCACUUGGUGGUCUCUGGAGUUUCCUUUUCCCUUUGAGGGAAAAAACAAAACAAAACCAUGCAGAAACACAAAUGCACCAAAGAGAAAGACUUCAGGAACUGGUUCCUGGAUGUCUUCAGAGAGGUGGAGUUGCCAGGUCUGAAGCUUGAAGUGGGCCUUUUUGUAGUACCUACUUAGCAAUAGAUGUUUCUCCCAUCACUGGAGGAGCUUGUCCAUCUGGGGAGGAGAACCUUUUGUAGCCUGAGGGCCACAUUCCCUCAUGGGCAACUUUCCAGAGGCCACAUACCAGUGGUGAGUGGGGCCAGAAGCCAAAGGUUUACAGAUCUAUAAUUCAUUGCAUACCCUCCAACAUUUCUGUGAUGAAAAUAGAGACGUCCCAUUCCAUAAUGGGGACGUGGGUGGCACUGUUGGUUAAACCACAGAGCCUAGGACUUGCCGAUCACAAGGUCGGCGGUUCGAAUCCCCACAACAGGGUGAGCUCCCGUUGCUUGGUCCCUGCUCCUGCCAACCUAGCAGUUUGAAAGCACGUCAAAGUGCAAGUAGAUAAAUAGGUACUGCUCUGGCGGGAAGGUAAACGGUGUUUCCGUGCGCUGCUCUGGUUUGCCAGAAGCGGCUUAGUCAUGCUGGCCACAUGACCCGGAAGCUGUAUGCUGGCUCCCUCGGCCAAUAAAGCGAGAUGAGCGACGCAACCCCAGAGUCGGUCACGACUGGACCUAAUGGUCAGGGGUCCCUUUACCUUUACCUUUAUUCCAUAAUGAUAAUUUUGCUAUUCAUGCCCCCCACAUAUUCUUGGGUUUCCCCAGACAAUCUGGGCAGCCUUCAACAUAUAUGAAAACGUAAUAAAACAUUAGACAUUUUUAAAAAACUUCCCUAUACAGGAUUGCCUUCAGGUGGCUCGGGGGGGUGAAUAACUCUAUACCCUCCAACAAUGAAAAUGGGAACAUCCUAAAGAAAAGCGGGACCUUUCAGGAUCAAAUCAGAAAGUGGGAUGGUUUCUCUAAAUCAGGAACAUCCCUGGAAAAUAGGGUCUGUCAUUGGUCUCACCAAGUGUCAUACUCUUGACAACGGCUUAUUGUUUAUUUGUUAAGCCUUUUUUAAACAAAAACAAAAACCCAACAACUUUAUUUUAAGAUAAAAGGCCAAUCUCAGGCACUGGUUAAACCAGACUCCCUGGCUUCCCAUUCCUCAGUUAAAAACCAGGGAAAUUAUUAAUCUUGUUUAUAUAUUUAGACCAUUUCUAUAUAUAUAAACCACCACCACAACAAAUAUUACAAACAAACACGAUAAUACGCGGAAUGCAAAUUACUAAGAAAUAAAUGCUGACAUAUAUUCCUUCUUCCACUUGACAUCUCUCAGCCUCCUGACUCUUCCAAAGACCCAAACAAACUCACAUACCAUCCCUGAAAUCUUACAACAAAGAGAUUAUGAGGUUCCUAUAACCUGCUGACAGAACUUUAGUCUCCCUUUCUAGGCUUGCUUUCCUAGGCAGGCACCAAGGUUGAUGGGGCAUCCGCUGGCUGCCCACUAUUGCAAUCCCACUUUGUCCCAUGUUAGCUGCACUGCACACACUCAGCUCCAGGCUACGGCAGAGUUGGUUUGGUGAGGCAGCUUCUCCAGUUGGCCCCUUUCAGAUCGGGAAGUGUAGGGAGGAUGCAGAGUGCUGGAAAAAAAUGUUUAGUGGCAUGUCACCUUCAGCCAGCUCACAGCAAGUAGGAAGGUUCAACCACACACCCACUAAAACCAUCAAUAUAUUUUAAAUUUGUAUUGUGAAUUAGACAGAAGAGGAGGAGCCUUUUUUGCAUGGGAAGAGAACUUUCUAUAAUUUGGAGGAGCACUGAGCUGAACAGGGCAAUCUUAUGUUUGUCUACUCAGAAGUAUGUCCAUUGAGUUACUUCCAUGAAACCAGCUAUAGGACUGUCUACAGGCCUGCUUUUCAUUUACAUCUACAGAACAGCAUUUCAAAGUGAAUUUAGAUAUGAUCCAUGGGGUUUAUUUUUCAUUUUUUUCAGCAAUUAUUAGUCCCCUAUCGCACAAGAACUAGAGGGGUAACUCGGGUUACAUAUGCUUCAGGUUACAGACGCUUCAGGUUACAGACUCCGCUAACCCAGAAAUAGUACCUCAGGUUAAGAACUUUGCUUCAGGAUAAGAACAGAAAUUGUGUGGCGGCGGCAGGAGGCCCCAUUAGCUAAAGUGGUACUUCAGGUUAAGAACAGUUUCAGGUUAAGAACGGACCUCUGCAAUGAAUUAAGCUUUUAACCUGAGGUACCACUGUAUAGUUUAGGAAUCCCACCCACCCCUCAUUUUUCUCUUUCAAAUGGUUUCUGUGUUCAAGCUGACAAGGAAAGGGGGAAAGUCUCCGCUCUUCUCAAAUAGAACUUGUCCGGGCAUUUGAUGUGAUGGAAUGACUGUCAUUUUCACACCUGUACAAACUCCUCAUGAAUGAAGGUUAUUCUGAACACUUCUCUUUAGAAAAGCCCUCCGUGUGUGUACAUUGUCCCAUCCAAUCCAAUGCAAACAGUCAUGGGGGCUGAAGGUUUUGUAGAGCAGCAUACCGGAAGACCACCAUUGGUUCAUUCUGGGUUUUCAGGAAACCCAUUCUUCAGAAUAAGCCAUGUUGGUAGUCCACAUACAAAUGCGACAAAAAGAAUUACACAGGACAUGAUUCAAUGAGGCAGUUGGGCUUAGCUGGUGGGUGAGAAGGGCUAACAUGCAUGUAGUAUGAGGGAUGGAGGAGUUGUGUGUUUGUGUGCGGGCUCACACACGUGUGUAUGCACAUGCCUCUUAAUUAGGGAUGGGGAGAGAAUUGAUUCACUUUAUAUUUUAGGGCAAAUCUUCCAAAUCUGUGUGAUUUGUGUGAGGCAAAACACUACGCAAACUGAAACACAGCGGCUCUUUGAAAAUUGCAAUCUUCCGAAUUCUGCGAUGCAAUUCUCCAGCCAAGGAAAGUGAAUGCAGGAGCUGUAAAGGAAAUUAGAUUGGCUUGAACUACAUAGUCAUGGUUAGAUGAGGCGUUGCAUUCAAAUGCCCUCUGUUUAAAAAAUAAUGAUGAUAAUGAUUUUCCAUAUCAUCAUAAUUUCGAGGUAUCAAGGGGAAAGGCCGAGAAAACAGUGAACAAACUUUCAGUGAGAAUGGUAUCCAUCAAAUCCUGACUUGGGGAGUCCUGAACAGCCAGAUGUGGCAGUAUUGGAAAGUCACAAUAGUUGUUGCUUUAGAAUCGCAAGUGGAGACACAGAUUUGUUCCAGGAAGGUGCACCAAUUAGGGCUGGUAUUUGGGUAGGAUAUUUUAUGCCCUUUAUUCUGCAUGUUUGAUUUAAAGAUGGCGUUUUCUUUGUAAGAUCAAGAAAAAGGAAAGUAAGUUAUCCAGAAUUGAAUAUGCAUGUAAAUAUCUUUCCCCUGCCCUUAAAAUCAGUGUUUAAUUCUUCAUCGCCAGGUUUUUAUUUUAAGCCAACUUUUCUUUAAAAAAUCAACUCUAAAAAAUCUUCCUAACAGUAGAACAUAUAGCAUAUUCAUAUUAUAAUCAGAGAGGGAGUUUUAAAAACAGGAUUUUUAAAAAGGGCUUCGUUGAUGGUCCAGAACAUGUUUUGAUUAUCAUGUAUCUUUUAAGUAUAGUCAUUUGAAAUGCAACAUAACUACUGUAUAAAGGUGCCCUCUGUUGUUGAAAGUUGGUUCUGCAGCCUCUAAUAGAGAUGGCCUUCUGGAUUAAAUCUGUGUGGUUGAGAUGAUGGUUCUGCCUCCCCCGUGCUCCUCUGUUGAAAAACGAUACUUGAAAGAUGCCAAAUAUUUGCUGAAUCUCUC